rnacentral:lncRNA from 1 species
GACAUGUUUAGAGGUUGUGCAUGCAUGCAUCAAGUUGUCUGUUGCAUCAUCGUUUUCUGCUGUUUAUUAGUUGUUUGUUUCUUUUGGGUAGCUGGUGGGGCCGGAAACGAGUUCGAGGAGUCCGGUGUGUUCGUGCUUGAAGAUCAGGAACAGUUCCACUCUGAAGAAAUCACAUGCAAGAUGAUCGUGACCUUGACACCGUUUCGAGCUUUGUUAUGCUUAGUGAUUCGUUUCUGUCGUUACACCUCCGUUGCCUACCACAUUAUAUAUUGGCC